rnacentral:rRNA from 1 species
CACCGCGGUUACACGGGAUGGCCCAAGUUGACAGCCUACGGCGUAAAGCGUGGUUAGGAAAAGAAAGAUACUAAAGCCGAAUUACCCUCCAGCUGUUAUACGCACUCAGGGAAAAGAAGUCCAACUACGAAGGUGGCUUUAUUCCUACCCCCUGAACCCACGAAAGUUUUGAUA